AUUACUUUAUCAUUUUCCUAAAUAACUUUUAUGAUUAUUGUACAAAUUGAUCCCUAAAAUUGCAUUUUUAUGUUCGAAGGACUAAUUUUUGCUUGUUUUAGGGAUUUUGCACCUGAGUCUGACAUCGUAGAAGGACCAUUCUUGCAUCAGAUUGUAAGAAAUUAAUUUCUGUAUCAUUUUCCUGAAUAACUUUGGGAUUUUGCACCUGAGUCUGACAUCGUAGAAGGACAUUCUUGCAUCAGAUUGGAUUUUGCACCUGAGUCUGACAUCGUAGAAGGACAUUCUUGCAUCAGAUUGGAUUUUGCACCUGAGUCUGACAUCGUAGAAGGACAUUCUUGCAUCAGAUUGGAUUUUGCACCUGAGUCUGACAUCGUAGAAGGACCAUUCUUGCAUCAGAUUGUUAGUAUUAAAUUAUCUUAAAUAACUUUUGUGAUUAUUAUACAAAUUGACUCCCAAAAUUUAUGCUUGUGCGUUUUCUUUAAUAAAGAAUAUUUUUAAGUUUUUCUAAUCAAAA